AUGGCAAAGGCUAUUUUCUGCCACCCAUCGAUAUUGGUGUUGAGUACUCACAAAAUGUGCUGGAACUUCUCAGGGAUCACUAGAGACACGGUGGUGGCUCCAGCGGCACCAUGACUGUUUCUUAUUCACA